ACAAAUUAAACCCUUUAACCCUAUUGAAUGAUUCUAUAAAAUAUAGGAACCCCAAUGCUAAAACUAGUAACAAGAAGUUGAGCUUCUCCAAAAUAUAAGCAUAAAUCAAAAUGGACUAGCCGUUGAUAAUUAACACCACUGACUCAAAUAUAGCAACCGAGCGAGAAAACCCUAUAAACCCGGAUGUUAAUCUUACACUAGCGUAUUUCUGGAAAGAUUAAAAAAAAGGGAAGGAACUCGGCAAAUCUUAGCCCCGCCUGUUUACCAAAAACACCGCCUCUUGAUCUUUAUAAGAGGUCCAGCCUGCCCAGUGACAUAGUUAAACGGCCGCGGUACCCUGACCGUGCGAAGGUAGCAUAAUCACUUGUUCUCUAAAUAAGGACUAGUAUCAACGGCAUCACGAGGGCUAUACUGUCUCCCCUUUUUAAUCAGUGAAACUGACUUUCCCGUGAAGAGGCGGGAAUAAGAAUACAAGACGAGAAGACCCCAUGGAGCUUUAAACCCAAUAACAACCUCUAUCUACUUCAACCACUAAAUUAAGAGGGACCUGUUUAUUGGUUUUAGGUUGGGGUGACCCCGGAGUAAAACUUAACCUCCAGGACGAAUGAAUUCCAUUCUAAUCCCAGAGCCACUGCUCUACGAAUCAAAAUUUUGACAUAGGCUGAUCCGCUAAGCGAUCAACGAACCAAGUUACCCUGGGGAUAACAGCGCAAUCCAUUUCAAGAGCCCCUAUCGACAAAUGGGUUUACGACCUCGAUGUUGGAUCAGGGUAUCCCAGUGGUGCAGCCGCUAC
rnacentral:rRNA from 1 species